rnacentral:rRNA from 1 species
UACGGAGGGUGCGAGCGUUAUUCGGAAUUACUGGGCGUAAAGCGCGUGUAGGCGGGGGGACAAGUCUGAUGUGAAAGCCCUGGGCUUAACCUGGGAAGGGCAUUGGAAACUGUUUUUCUUGAGUACUGGAGAGGAAGGGGGAAUUCCCGGUGUAGAGGUGAAAUUCGUAGAGAUCGGGAGGAAUACCAGUGGCGUAGGCGCCCUUCUGGACGGUAACUGACGCUGAGACGCGAAAGCGUGGGGAGCAAACAGG